AUGGGGGAGGGGAAGCCCUCCCGCCGUAAAACGAAGACAGGGUUUCAGUUUCAAACAAGCCAUCCGGUCUUUCCAGCCCUCUCCCGUCGGGAGAUGCGCCCGCACGCCUGCGUCCCCUGCAGCGGUCUAGCGCCCAGUCCGCCCGCUCCUCCCUCACACUCACCAGUGCCUGCGGGCCCGCCAGGCCGGUCCGGGCGUAGCUCUGAGGGGCGGUGCGGCCUUACCCGCGGGCGCAAGGCGGCGGGCGCACGGCGGCGGCGCUCUGGCUCUCGCGCUCCCGGGCACUCAGCCGGGCCAGCCCCUCUCCUUUGCGCGCGCCCCACGCCCUGUCCGCCAGGCCCCAGCUCCGCGGCCGCACUCACUGCCUCGUUCCGCGCCUGCGCCGCGCACCUCAGGGGCCCGCCGAAAGGGCGGGGAGGUGACGAGCCCUCUUGUCUAUCUGCGAAAGGUGUUUUGGUGUCUUCAGGACCCCUCUUCCUGGUGAAGAUAUUUUUGGUGAUUAUGGAAAUAUUUGUAAGUAGAGUUUUAUUUGCAAAUUAUUUCUUUUAUCAGAACAAUCUGGAACCUUCUAAUGUUUUCUAGUUAUAGUGUUACAGAACAAUCCAAGAAACUGGUCGCAGAUGUUGCUGUAGAACCCCCAAUCCUAGGUCCACUUGCCUGACACAGAGAAAACCAGCCAUUGACGUCAGGGUGGUAGAAAAAAGAAAUCUAUUGUAAAGCACAGGAUAAGGAGCCUGGUGGGUAUCACUUAAUUCCUGGGCUCCUGAGAGGUUAGAGAUUAAGGUUCUUGUAGGAUGAAGGUCAUACUGGGAGGUGCGUGUUCAGCUCAUGUACAAGUUCCUGGUUGGUCACUGGUGGUUGGUGAUGCUAUGCUCUCCAGGGAAUUUUUAUGAUGGCCUGGAGGGCUUCAGUCAGACUAGGGGCUAUGCGUAGGUGGUAGCUGCUUUCCACCCUGGACUGGAACUCCCCUGAAGUGAGACUGCGUGAGAAGAUAUGGGUGGUAGAUGUUAAUGAUGGGAGAAUUUUCCUGGGUCAGUUGCACCAUCCCCUCCAUUUGGCAGAUUCUUUUUGAUGAGUAGUUAACCAGCAACCCUAAAGGAAGGGCAAGGACACCUUGAGCUAAGGCUGGAAGGCCGGGGGACUGGGUCCAGGAGAUAUCCUGCCCCUGCUUUAAAGACACUGUAUGCGGGUCAGUUUCAAUAGCAAUGGUUAUUACUGUUUUGCUGAGGAAAUAAAGAAUAGAACAAAGACCA
rnacentral:lncRNA from 1 species